AACCAUGCCCUUCGGGGCUCCUUGGUGAUUCAUAAUAACUUAACGAAUCGCAUGGCCUUGCGCCGGCGAUGGUUCAUUCAAAUUUCUGCCCUAUCAACUUUCGAUGGUACAGUAGUGGUCUACCAUGGUUUUAACGGGUAACGGGGAAUUAGGGUUCUAUUCCGGAGAGGGAGCCUGAGAAACGGCUACCACAUCCAAGGAAGGCAGCAGGCGCGCAAAUUACCCAAUCCCAAUUCGGGGAGGUAGUGACAAUAAAUACUGAUACAGGGCUCUUUCGGGUCUUGUAAUUGGAAUGAGAACAAUUUAAAUCCCUUAACGAGGAACAAUUGGAGGGCAAGUCUGGUGCCAGCAGCCGCGGUAAUUCCAGCUCCAAUAGCGUAUAUUAAAGUUGUUGCAGUUAAAAAGCUCGUAGUUGAACCUUGGGCCUGACCGAUCUGUCCUCCUAAUCGAGCGCACGGAUUCGGUUGGGUCUUUCCUUCUGGGGAACCCUAUGCCCUUCACUGGGCGUAGUGGGGAACCAGGACUUUUAC
rnacentral:rRNA from 1 species